rnacentral:lncRNA from 1 species
GUUUAUAGCUGCCUAUUCAAAUGGGUUCUUUUGCUUGAGAGUAUAAAAAAAUUCACAGCCAAUUUGAACUAAAUAUUAAUUAUUGUCUCAUGAAACUUAGAACUCCAGGAAGGAAGCCAACUUCAGGUGUGGCUCACCCUGGAAAUCAGACAUUAUUAUUAGGGUACUCGCUCACUGUUCUACUUGUCCCUAUUUGACCUCAUUCUGCAGGUGAACUCUCACAAUGUGCCAGUCAAGAUGGCUUCUCUCAGCCCAGACACAUAUUUUUUGGAGUCCCUGUCAGCUCCAGUGAAAAGCUUUAGAAAAUACUCCAAUUGGCUUUAGCAGAAUCAUGUGACCAUAUUGGAAAUGGCCGGCCUUGGGAUAUGCUAUGAGAAGAUUGUCAUUCAAACAGCCCAAAAACAAGAACUGAACAGCACUAACAUCAAACAAAAGCAGCCCCUGGAUUUUCUGACAAACCAGAAAUAAUUUUCCAGAUGCAGGCAGCAUACUCAAGUUGGCAUUUGCUCAUGGCCAUGGGGUAGAAAGAAGGCUGAAGGCAAAGGUAGGUGUUCCUGGGCAGGUAAGAAUCAUGGGUGAGGGGGAAUGCAUCAUGCUUCUCCUGUAGGAAUGCUGAUUCCUGAAGGGAACUCCUGAGGACAUCUGAUGAACACUGGAGUCCUUGUGGCAUUGUUCAUGCAGGGGAUGCUAACACGAUGACAGACAAGCAGGCAGAAUGGGGAAAAGUAAGCCAGUAAGUAUGCUCACCAGUGUUAACGAGUUGUUUUUGCUUUGCUUUGAAACUCAAUCACCUUUGAAAGGUUCCCACCUUCAAAAAGCUGAGUAGUUUCUUUACAGCAGUGGUUCUCAAACUUAUCUGUCCAUGACAAACACCUGGAAGGCUUAGUAAAGCACAAACUUCCAGGGCUCUGUAUUUAAAGUUUCUGAUUAAAUAUUUCUGGGGUAGGACUUGCAAAUUUGCAUUUCUAUUAGGUUCAAAGGUGAUGCUGAUGGUGCUGGUUUGGGCAAUGAAACUGAAAACCACUGCUUCUAGCACACAGGGACCUGGG